rnacentral:rRNA from 1 species
UACGAAGGUGGCAAGCGUUGUUCGGAUUUACUGGGCGUAAAGGGAGCGUAGGUGGUUAGGUAAGCCCUCCGGGAAAUCUUCAGGCUUAACCUGAAAAGGUCGGGGGGGGACUGCCUAGCUAGAGGGCGGGAGAGGAGCGCGGAAUUCCCGGUGUAGCGGUGAAAUGCGUAGAGAUCGGGAGGAAGGCCGGUGGCGAAGGCGGCGCUCUGGAACGUUUCUGACACUGAGGCUCGAAAGCGUGGGGAGCAAACAGGAUUA